CCCGGGCCUUGUACACACCGCCCGUCACACCAUGGGAGUGGGUUGUACCAGAAGUAGGUAGAAUAACCUUCGGGGUUCGCUUACCACGGUAUGAUUCAUGACUGGGGUG
rnacentral:rRNA from 1 species